CCUACGGGAGGCUGCAGUGGGGAAUAUUGGACAAUGGGGGGAACCCUGAUCCAGCGACGCCGCGUGAGUGAAGAAGUAUUUCGGUAUGUAAAGCUCUAUCAGCAGGGAAGAAAGAAAUGACGGUACCUGACUAAGAAGCCCCGGCUAACUACGUGCCAGCAGCCGCGGUAAUACGUAGGGGGCAAGCGUUAUCCGGAUUUACUGGGUGUAAAGGGAGCGUAGACGGCGAUGCAAGUCUGAAGUGAAAGGCGGGGGCUCAACCCCUGGACUGCUUUGGAAACUGUAUGGCUGGAGUGCAGGAGAGGUAAGUGGAAUUCCUAGUGUAGCGGUGAAAUGCGUAGAUAUUAGGAGGAACACCAGUGGCGAAGGCGGCUUACUGGACUGUAACUGACGUUGAGGCUCGAAAGCGUGGGGAGCAAACAGGAUUAGAUACCCCAGUAGUC
rnacentral:rRNA from 1 species